rnacentral:lncRNA from 10 species
GUGGCACUUCCCUCUUCGCUUGCUCUCUCUCCUGCUCAUGAUGAUAAGACAUACUUGCUUCUCUUUUGCCUUCCAUCAUGAUUGUAAGUUUCCUGAGGCCCUUGCAGCCACGUGAAACUAUGAGUGCAAUCCCCUCCUGAAGAAGAGAUUCAAAGACUGAAAGAGCCUAUGGAGGGGCAAUGUGGCAAGAAAAUGAACUCUCAGCAUCUAGAAGCUGAGAGAUCCUGUGAGCGAGAGAAGGGGAGCUUCAGUCUUACAAGCACGAGAAAUUGAAACGGCAAGAGGAAUUUUAAAGCAGGCCUGGAAUUUCGGCAAAGAAUACAGCCCAGCAGAUACUUAGAUCAUAAGACCUUGCAAGACAGCAGAUAAUCAGACUCAAAGUCCUGACACUCAGACACUGGGGGUUAAUCAAUUUGUGUUGCUUAAGCUGACAUGUUUAUGAUCAUUUGACAUGUUUAUGAUCAUUUGUUUUGUUUUUUUAAAUUUUUUUUUGAUAAUUUGUUAUGUAGCAACAGAAAACAGAAAUGGACUUUUAAUGAUAUUCUGAACAUAUUGCUUACCAUUGACUUUCAGUACUACUUUGAGAAUAUUUUGUUUGUAAUGUAGUCAUCUCUCAGUAUCCACAAAGAAUUGGGUUCAGGACUUCCUGCGAAGAUUGAAACCUGCAGAUGCUGAAGUCUGUAAUACAAAAUUGUGUAGUAUUUGCAUAUAACCCUGGUGCAUCUU